UAAAUUCGUAGUUUUAUCACAAGAAAUGAAGUGUUUUACCAAAGUUGUGUAUCUUUUUGUGGCUUUCAACAUCUUGGACUGCUCCUACGCCUACAACAUGCCAAUUUCGGAAGCAAGUUACAGAUUUAUACAGCUUGUUUUGAGCAUUCAUUCAUCUGAAUCGAAUGCGAAUUUAAUAUGGUGGCAACAUGGUGUGGUUAUCGGGAGUGAUCAGAGAAGGCCAACAUCCAGUAAUCCUGAAGAUUAUGUACAAAGAUUCGAUUUAACAACCAGAACUGUAUAAAUGGGAUCUGUAAUGAAUAACAUGUUAAGUGUCAGCUAAAGCAGUGGUGGCAAUGUUUCUCUCUCUCUAAAGGCAUUGAGUCCAGCUUGAAAUGGAUGACCCUCUGACAUUGUGAAGAUAUUGCUUGCAGCAGUAAGCCUGUCAUCA